rnacentral:tRNA from 1 species
GCUGGGAUAGCUCAGUUGGUAGAGCAUGAGACUCUUAAUCUCAAGGUUGUAGGUUCGAGCCCCACAUUGGGCA